rnacentral:lncRNA from 1 species
GCACACCGUCGUCGGCGUCGGAUAAGUAAUAGUUCGGACCUUCGAUGGUCAAUGCCACGGCGAUUGUCCACGCUUCGCCGAACUCGUUACUGCCGGCGUCGUAGUGGAAGGUGUCGUCGUCGGACGCGUCGUCGGUGUUGCAGCUUUGGUACGUCGUCUCGUUGUAGGUCUGGACCACCGUCUGAUUGGUAUUCGUUUUGAAAACUACAGAUCACGGGAAAUUAAAUAAAAUAAAUGCUCUGUUUGGCUGUAGAGAAAGCGAAGGAAAAGGAAAGAAUAUCGGAUUUCCAAUUUAAUAGACUAAGCAGAUAUUUUGCGAAGUUGACUCAGACAUAAGAUCAAUAAUCAACAUAAUUUCUCAGCCACCAAAUGAAGAUUUAUCUCAUCAUGAGAAAAAAUCGAAGCUAUUGGAGUUGGAGUUGCAGUUUGCAAACUAGAUCAAGAGCGAGAGACAAAAGAAAAAAAAAAAAAAAACUCUGUUUGGUUGCUGAGAAAUUGAGGGAAAAGGACAGCAUAAAUUAUUAUAGCCUGAACAUUUGUCAUGAAUUGAACAUGAGAAUCCAGUCAUUUUCCUCUCCUACAUUUUCUCAGGAACCAAACAGGGGAAAAGAUGUGGACAUGGAAUUCAGCUUACUUAGGAAAUCACCGAGACUGAAUGUCUGAUUAGCGGCCCAUUUGGAGUAGUCGAUGAUGGAAGUGUUGGUGGUGGUGUUGAAGAACCACCCGGCGUCGCCGCCGACGGUGUGAUUGGUAUAUGACGCCGCAGGAGU